rnacentral:lncRNA from 1 species
UGUGAUCAAAUAUGAACAAACAAUUGCUUGUAUUAUGAAAUCUAGCAUGUAAUCUGGAGCAUAAACCUUACUAGAGAGGGAAAAAUUAGAAGAACCAAGAAACCUCUACAAGUAAAAAUUUGUUCCAAGAAAUUCAUCUAUUGGAGCAUUAAAAAAAAACCAGAUUCAACCAACUCCAAGCCUAUGGAAGAGCCAAGGGAGACCAGUUGAUGCCAAGGAGAAGAUGGUUUGAUGCCCUUGUGAUUUUGACCAUUGACAAUCCUGUCAUCAAAAGUAUAAAUGCUAUCUACCAUCUCAAUCGAUGAUCGGCUAUCGAUGACUGCCAGCUGCAAAGGCGGAUACCACUACCUUAACUCCCUCCUUUGCUGAUAUCUCACCAUAUCCUUCUUACCGAAAAAUUUAUAAAGUCUUGUUCAAUGAUGGACUAUCUGCUCCUCCCUCCCACCGAUCCAAAAGGUUGAGCAGGCCUUCUUCUCCUUCUUGCUCAGUAUGGACAAAGCCUUCAUGAUUUGAUUACCACCCGACCUGAUGAACAGUAACCCUAAUUUAUAAAAUUGGGGGUUUUAAUGAUUUUGAUAACAACAAUGUCCAUAAUUAGUAUAAAACAUACCUAGUGUUUUUAGAGAGAAAUAAACUGGAGAGAGAAAUCAUGUUUGGAAGAGAGAAAUGAGGUUUGUGAGAAAAUUGUGCAGAUUUAUAUUUAUUAUAUACGAGGACAAAAAUGUCUAUUCUUCUAAUUUGAUUUGUUCUGUUGCUAUGGAGGAAACCGUGAUUUCUCAAACUUUAGAUGGAAAAUGAAAAACAGAACAAAGUAUAGGAGGUUUUUUGUAAUUAUCUUUUUAUUUUUUUUGUCUUUUCAUUCAAGUUCAUCCUCUGAGAAUAAUCUCAACAGUCUGAACUUAUGGUCAGGUGUAGGAUUGUUAAAUUGCUUGCAUUUUUCCUUUAUUCAUGCUUAUCUUUGUUAAUGAUUUGGUUCACAUCACUGAUUUCAUUUUUCUGCAGUUAUGGCUCAUUCUUUGGCCCUUCUCAGCCAGUUAUUGCUCAAAGAGUCAUUACUAGAAAACCAACAUUUGGAUCUCAGAGUUUCAAACUCCCAGCAUGCUGUAUGUACCAUAAACCUUUUGGUUUUGCUGAAUCUCGUGAGAUGUGCAUGAUGCAGAUUUGAUCUUCAUAUAACACUCUUAUUUACAUGCAUGUUUGUGGAGCUUUGUGACAUCUGAUUAAAAAUUGGUGAAAUCUCAGGUGCCUAAUUUUGCUUAUUCUUAUCAAGGUUGCUCUAAGGUUUGCAAUUUACAAAUAGAUAAUUUUCCCUACUCAUGGUGUGUGCUAGCCCCACAGGUAGCGAUAUGGAACUGCUUUUAUUAGAAAAGGGUGUCUCUGAUACUAGAAAUUUAGUAUAUUACUAUACUAUUAUUUUUGGAACCAGUUCAAUUACUGUAACAUCUUGAGUUUUCUAGGAAUGUCAAUUUGGUUAACUUAGUUUUUUCAUGAAAAGAAUGGCAAACUUACAACUUGAAAUGCACCUUGGUAUUGAGUGAAAUGAAUAUUUUGACAGAAAAUCCAUAACCUUGAUAGUAUCCGUGUGAUCUAAUCUGAAAUUUUGUGUCAUGGUUUGUGUGGUUUGUUCUCUUAGCUUUUUGGUUGUGGGUUUUGUUGAUUUGAGACUGCUUUUCUUUAGUGAUCUGCAACUGCAAGUGCUGUUGUGAAUUUGACUUGUUACCAUGUUGGAGUGAAGAUGCUGCAAACAGCGGCUAAUAUAUUUCAGAUGGAGAUCUUACCUUUGCAAUCUUGUUUGCUGUUGCAGAACAAAAGGAACUCCUCUUCAACUGCCACAGGUUCCAAAAAUGGAGGACAUAGACAUGUAC